rnacentral:rRNA from 1 species
AACGAACGCUGGCGGCGCGCCUAAUACAUGCAAGUCGAGCGAGAAGACGUAGCAAUACGUUUGUAAAGCGGCGAACGGGUGAGGAAUACAUGGGUAACCUACCCUCGAGUGGGGAAUAACUAGCCGAAAGGUUAGCUAAUACCGCGUACGCUCCUUGGACUUCGGUUCAGGGAGGAAAGCGAUACCGUGGGUAUCGCGCUCUUGGAUGGGCUCAUGUCCUAUCAGCUUGUUGGGAGGUAACGGCUCACCAAGGCGGCGACGGGUACCGGGCGUGAGAGCGUGACCCGGCACAUCGGAACUGAGAUACGGUCCGGACACCUACGGGUGGCUGCAGCAACGAAUAUUCCGCAAUGGACGAAAGUCUGACGCAGCGACGCCGCGUGUGGG